rnacentral:rRNA from 1 species
UACAGAGGUCUCAAGCGUUGUUCGGAUUCAUUGGGCGUAAAGGGUGCGUAGGUGGCGCUGUAAGUCAGGUGUGAAAUUUCGGAGCUCAACUCCGAAACUGCAUUUGAUACUGCGGUGCUUGAGGACUGGAGAGGAGAUUGGAAUUCACGGUGUAGCAGUGAAAUGCGUAGAUAUCGUGAGGAAGACCAGUGGCGAAGGCGGGUCUCUGGGCCGAUACUGACGCUGAGGAGCGAAAGCGUGGGGAGCGAACAGG